GUCCCUUUAACUCAGUGGUAGAGUAAGGACAUGGUAAGGCCUAAGUCAUAGGGUCAAAUCCGAUCAGGGGCU
rnacentral:tRNA from 2 species